rnacentral:rRNA from 1 species
CUAACAAGGAUUCCCCUAGUAACGGCGAGUGAAGCGGGAUGAGCUCAAGCUUAAAAUCUCCGUGCAAUUUUUGCACGGCGAAUUGUAGUCUAUAGAGGCGUGGUCAGUAUAAGCACUUGGGGUAAGUUCCUUGGAAAAGGACAGCAUGGAGGGUGAUACUCCCGUUCAUCUCUAAGUUGCUUGUGCGUACGACCCGUUUUCUUUGAGUCGCGUUGUUUGAGAAUGCAGCGCAAAGUAGGUGGUAAAUUCCAUCUAAAGCUAAAUAUUGGUGCGAGACCGAUAGCAAACAAGUACCGUGAGGGAAAGAUGAAAAGAACUUUGAAAAUAGAGUUAAAGAGUACCUGAAACUGCUGAAAGGGAACCAAAUCGUUUCCAGUGUCUAUAAUCCGUGGUAUAUUUCAUUGGCGAGUGUGUGCGUGCGUGUGCUGUUGCAGUGGCUUUUUGGCUGCGCUCGGUGUGUGUGCUGUGUGUACUUGCUGGUGCCCUGUGCUGCGGUGGGACGUCAAGGUCAGUUCGUAUGCUGCGGGAAAUGGCUACUGAGGAGGUAGGGCUUACGCUUGCGUUUGUCUGUUAUAUCUUGGUGGACGAGUCGUCGCGGUUGGGACUGAGGUGCCUACAACGUGCUUUUGAGUGGGCUUGGGUCUCCGUGUGCGCCGUGUGCGGAUAGCUUGCUAUGCGUGUGUGGUUGUAUGUGGAUUGAUGCGAGCCGUAACUUGUAGUCGUUCGGGACGUGACGAA